AAAACUACAAACAACUACCUGGUGUGAAUUGUAUAAUCCCGCGAACCAUCAAGUCUUUGAACACAAGUUGCGCCCGAGGCCACUCGGGUGAGGGCACAUCUACCUGGG
rnacentral:rRNA from 9 species